rnacentral:lncRNA from 10 species
UUUUCUCUCUAUUGUGCAAAAGACAUCCUUUUACCUUGAUAUGUUUGACUGGUGUUCAUGGCAGUCCCUGAGUUAGGAGCAUAUUUGAGUCUGUUUGAUGGUGAAUGUAAGAUCUCAAUUGGUCCUGAAUUCUGGACUCUACAGGAGUAAGGGUUUUGAAUUGAAAGCGAGGUAGGCCUCAUUUAAAGGAGCAGUGUAGGACUGGAAUAAGAAAUGGGAUCUGUGGAGGUGAAUUAAUUACUCUUACACAUAUUUAAAAGUUUAACAAAUCUGUAACUGGCCUAUUAAUUCCAAAUCAAUAAACAAGUAUUUUCUUUCUGGAAACAUUUUUUAAACACUAUUCCAUAUGCUUUCCUUUUUCAAAAUUCUAGAACAUGUUAAAUUUCAGAGAGUCAAAUCGCUCUCCAGCUAAUCAUUCUAAUUAGUUAUUCAUAGCAUUUGGGUGAAGCAUACCUCAUAUUUCUUCAGAUAGCAAUAAUGACUUCUCUAAUGUUAAAUAGUUAAAACAUGGUAAGGCAGCGAGAAAGGCUAGAAGUGUAUUACAGCAGUGUAAAACUCCAUAAGCACCUUAUUUGCUGUCCAAACAAGCAGCAAUUUAUUUUGGCAAAUCUGCAGCCUUUAAAUUCUCACAAUUUGAUGUGUCUAAGACUCGUGUGGGGAGUUUGAGAAAGUGCAGAUAGGAGGGCUCCCUCUCCAGAAAUCCCGCACCCAUAGUCCUGAGUUGAGGGCUAGGAAUCUCAUUCUUCAAUGAGAGCUUCUGGAGAUUUGUUUCCGGUACAGAGAAUAACAUUUCUUUACACUGCCUAUGGGCAAAACUGCCACUGUCCCUCUGCCCAAAGUCUGGGAACAAGCUGCUUCUGUUAAGCUAUGGUGGUAAUUUUGGUGUGGAAAAAUGCACAAUGACCUGGGAGAGCAAGUGAGUGAUUCUGGAAACAAAAAUCAUGUAAAAUAGUGAGGUUAUUUCAAAUCAGGAAGGGUUAGAAGUUAAAUAUACAUAAGCAAUCAAGUUCACACAUUGUAGGAAAAGUUGGAGUUCAGAAAGACUAUCAAGUUUUGUAGGUAGUUUUCUUUCACAUCCUUAAAUGUUAAUAAUUACAGACAGCUGUUAAUUUUAAAUUAAAACGUCCUUUUUAUUUUUUUAGGUAAUAAUUCAUUCAUAACUUCCAUUAAAGAUGAAUGCAAUCUUAAAAAUGAUAUUUUUUUCAAUUUAUCUCCAUUCAUAUAAAAUGUAUAUUGUGUUUAUGCUUACCUGAUAAUAAUGUAUAUUUUCUUCUGUCAUUCUGCAGUGUCAUCAUGGCUUUGAAAAUGAACACAGAAGGCCUAAGAAACACAUUCUGAAAUAGAAUAAUAUGGGCCAUCACGUGUCUCACACUUAUAAUCCCAGUAUGCUGGGAGGUGGAGGUGGGAGGAUCACUGUAGCUUGAGGAGUUUGAGAUGAGACCAGCCUGGGCAACGUAGAGAAAUGUCAUCUCUGUAAAAAAUACAAAAAAGAAAUCAGCCAGGUUUGGUGGCACCUGUGGUCCCAACUACUUGAGAGGGUGAGGCCAGGUGUAGAGGCUGCAGUGAGCUAGAUAAUACCACUGCACUUUAGUUCAGCCUGGGUGACAAAGCAAGACCCUAUCUCAAAAGAAGGAAGGGAAGGGAAGGGGAGGGGAGGGGAGGGGAGAAGAAAGAAAGAAGAAGAAGAAAGAAAGAAAGAAAAAGAAAGAAAGAAAGAAAGAAAAAGGAAGGAAGGAGAAAAGAAAAAGAAAGAGAGAGAAGGAAGGGAGGAAAGGGAAGCAUUACAUGAUUGGAGAAAGGAGAUGUGUGCUGAUGUCCCAGGGGGCUGUCUGUUUUAUUUAUGCAAUGAUGAUUUCUUGCCUAUCUCCCAUGUGCCAGAUUCUCAGCUGGAUUCCAGUCUCAUCAUACUCUCAUUUCACAGGAGUGUCAGGACAGAGAACAUUCCACCUGGGACUCCAGGGAAGGCAGCUCUAUGUUAAAUGGGAACCAGGGAAGUGCUCCUAACCAGCCUCACAUCUGUUGCUACUAUCUGUAACCCAAAAACAAAUUUCAACAUCCCCUGUGCCCCCCCCAUCCCCCGCUGCUCCCUGUGCCCCACAACCAUCUGAAUGGACUUCCUCCUUGGCCAGGGCACUCUAAAAUUUAACCUGAAAGACUGGUUCAGGCCAUGACAGGAAACCUCAUUAUUCCCCUCCAGCAUUAACAUUAACACAGACCUUAAGUCUGAUAGGAAACAUUUACCAUCUAUUUUCUUGGAAGCCUGCUACCUGGAGGUUUCAUCUGCAUGACAAAACCUUGGUCACAACCACUUAUCUUAAUGCAGACAUUCCUUUCUGCUGAUAAUAACUCUUUCAACCAAUUGCCAAUCAGAAUAUAUUUAAAUCUACCUAUGACCUGGAAGCUCCCCAGCUUCGAGUUGUCCCACCAUUCCAGAUGGAACCAGUGUAAACCUUACAUGUAUUGAUUGAUGUCUUAUGUCUCCCUAAAAUGUGUGAAAGCCAGCUGUACCCUGACCACCUUGGGCACAUGUCAUCAGGACCUCCUGAGGCUGUGUCUUGGGUGGGUCCUUAACCUUGGCAAAAUAAACUUUCAAAAUUGACUGAGUCUUGUCUCAGAUAUUUUCAGUUCACAUAUUAAAGGAAAGAAUGAUAACUUUAAGCCUCAUUUCCUGUGCUUUGGGGUGACCUACUCGCUUUAUCUGAAACCCACAACUAUACAUAUCUUCUCUGAAGGUUUUCAUACACUUUUAUUUCGUCUUCACUGUUUUUUUUCCCUUGUCUGUCUUCCCUCAUUUUUUGUGGCCCUUGUUUUAAAAAUUAUUUUAAUUUCAAUGGAGAUUGAUUAUUCAGUUCUGUUUUUUAUUCUAUGAGUUAUCUUAGAUGAAUUCUAGGAAAAGUAAUGUUAAGUUGUGACUUUAUAUUGCUAUAUAAAAACUGGUGCAUUGAGUUUUUGCAUGUAUUAACUUCAUAUGCAACUAAAGAAGGAAUAAUUAAUUUCAGUUUUUGCAAU